CACUGAGCAUGCUUGCCUGCGCAGCUUGCAUGAGACACUCUUAAUGAAUAUUACUUCCUUCCCACUGGCUAGCCCUGGAAGUCCACACCCACCCCUCUUUGAGAAGUCAGGAAUUUAGCGUCUGCCAAAGCCCAGAAAGCAGGCUUCCACGGAGACAAGGCCUCCCCAAUCCAUAAACUUUCAGGUUAUGACCUAUGGGUCAGCCUGACAAACAGAACACGGGGUACUCUCCAGGUACAAGGAAUAUCACGCUGUACUCUGCAGAGGCUCCUUCAGGACUAAGGUCACCAUUGUAUCAUCAAAGGGAUUGGCUUUGCCAGCUCAUACCUGUUUCAUAUUCAUCCUGCUUCCCCACCUCCUCCCCCUGACUCCUCUGUCAUCAGCCACUAGGAGCCCCCUUGCCAAGGAUCCCUGGAGACAUUCCACAUCUAAUGUCCAAUGACUAUAUAUGGCGGGAUUCAUAAAAGCCACCCACCCUGACUUCCCCUGAGGCCAUUCUAAAGGUUUCUGCCAGUUGCAUUGCAGCAGCCUCCUAGCUCCACCUCUGCUCUUCCCAGUCCUCCUCUUUUACUUCUCUUCAAGUAUUCCUCCUAAAGUCAUUCCACCUAAAACCCCCUGCAUGGUUAUCUCUACCAGAGUCCAUUUACAGGGAAUUUUACUCCAAAGGGUUGGUGCUUCUGACCCUUGGAAAAACAAGUUCUGACAAAAGUUUUAGGGACAGAUCACCCCCAAACAAAAAGCAAAUUGGGGUUUCCUCAGCAGUAGUAAGUGGCAAUGGGAAGCUCCAGGCACCCACCGUGUCUUGAUAUAAUCACUAUAAUGUCAACCAGUGGUGAAUCUUGCACAGGAUCCUGAGAAAAUAAAAUGUGCUGGCAUGAAUCUUGAAGAAUAUGGCUAUGAUGCUGGAUAUGAGACUGUUGGGGACUGUCAUUGUAUUAAGAGAUGAAAAUCAAAGAUGAUAUGAUAUUAAUUGUCAAUUAAAGGUCAAAUAUAAAACCUGGUAGGACUCCAGCUGUUUCUCCUCCUGAAGAAGGAUUUGAAAGCAGAACUUAAAGCCAAUAUUGAAUUAGAGAAGGGGCAGAACUGUGGAACACAAAGACUUUCAGGUUUUCUAUGCUGAGGUCAGGGCCCUAUUUGGGAAAGAAUAAAAUCCUGAGACCUGGGAUGGGAACAUCUGAGCUGAUAUGCUUGAAUACCUAGAAUUCCUAGUUUCUCUUGGACCUCCUAGGCCUGCAGGGAUGGCCCACUCCUCUCUGUUCUAUGCUGGGAGCCUCGUCUAAUUUUUUAAGACAACCCAGAAGGCCUGGGUUUUGCAAGAAAUUAUCCUGUGCCUCCUGCAUGACCCACAGACAUCAUGGGAAUGUUGUAAAGCACAUAGUUUUUAUUAAUCUUAGAGAAAAGAUGAUGGGCAGCCAGUGAGGGGGUGGCUUAGUGCACUGGAUAGAAACAGAUUCAGAAGUCAGAGGCUGCAAUCGCAAAAGGUCAAAAUCAGUGACAUGUCCCUGAGUAAAGGAUAGGAUUGCUCCCCAAAGGACAAUUUAUGGAAUGUAUAAAUAUUUAUGAAAAUAAUAGAUCUAAUCUUUCCAGAAAUGGAAAAAUGAGAAAACAAAUCAUUAGAUAUAACAUUUGAAGGACUAGUAGGCACACCAAGGCUGAAGUUUAGGAGUUCUGUUGUUCAUGAAGGAGAAGGGAUUUAAGGACCAGGUAAUACAUGAAGCCUUGUCCCAAGUCCAAAUAAUGUUUGCCUACCAACACAGCCAUGACCAUCUAUGCUCACAUAUAGUGGAAACAGAUUGUCCUUGGGAGUUAGCAAGAGCCAUACAUUGGCUCCUGGGGCUGUGAAAUUAGAGCAAUCUAGAGAGGAAUCCAGAGGGAUUCUUUAAAACAUAUCUUCUAGCCAAGAUAGUAAAUCAAAACAAUACUUUGUCCCUGGGGGAAUGGCAGAGAUAUCUCACUCUAAAGACGAAAGGAAUGCAGAGGUGAUGGACUCUGUCAUAUCUCAUUUAAUUCACCCUUCUGGCUGCUACAAAAACCAGAUGGACUAUGAUGGAUGACAGUGACAUAUGGAGAAUUUAACCAAUCUCAAUUGCAAUGCCUUUGCUUGAUUUAAUGUCUUUCCUAGGUACACAGCCUUAAGCACAUGGUACAAAGAUAGCCAGUGAGCUAGAAAAUGUGUCCCUUUCUAUCCCUGGGGGAAAGUAGGACCAGAAACAGUUUCUGUCCAUAUGGAGAUGAACGAAGGUACAUAAGUACACAUUUGGCACCAGACUGCCCCUGUGUUUGAUAAUAUUAUCUAAAGG
rnacentral:lncRNA from 1 species